rnacentral:rRNA from 1 species
UACAGAGGGUGCGAGCGUUGUCCGGAAUCACUGGGCGUAAAGGGCGCGUAGGUGGUGGCUUAAGCGUGCGGUGAAAGCUCGGGGCUCAACCCCGAGUCGGCCGUGCGAACUGGGCUCACUGGAGCAUAGUAGAGGCAGGUGGAAUUCCGGGUGUAGCGGUGGAAUGCGUAGAGAAUCCGGAAGAACACCGGUGGCGAAGGCGGCCUGCUGGGCUAUGGCUGACACUGAGGCGCGACAGCGUGGGGAGCAAACAGG